rnacentral:lncRNA from 1 species
GGCAGUAAUGCUCAUUUCCUGGAACAGAUGGUUCGUGGCCCUUGAAGCGCUGCGAUCUGUAAAGCUAGUUCUCUGCAAGGGCUUUGACUCCUGAGUCUAAAAAGGUCACUAACUCCCGCUAAAUUGAGAGCAAUUGAAGCCUCAUCUUCAGAUCUAGGAGAAGAUGAAAAUCAGAAUAAGCUGCAGUCAUGAGACAUGGCGCCAGAAAUUAAGACUAUUCAAACCC